rnacentral:rRNA from 1 species
GAUGAACGCUGGCGGCGUGCCUAAUACAUGCAAGUCGAGCGAAUGGAUUAAGAGCUUGCUCUUAUGAAGUUAGCGGCGGACGGGUGAGUAACACGUGGGUAACCUGCCCAUAAGACUGGGAUAACUCCGGGAAACCGGGGCUAAUACCGGAUAACAUUUUGAACCGCAUGGUUCGAAAUUGAAAGGCGGCUUCGGCUGUCACUUAUGGAUGGACCCGCGUCGCAUUAGCUAGUUGGUGAGGUAACGGCUCACCAAGGCAACGAUGCGUAGCCGACCUGAGAGGGUGAUCGGCCACCCUGGAACUGAGACACGGCCCAGACUCCUACGUGAGGCAGCAGUAGGGAAUCUUCCGCAAUGGACGAAAGUCGGACGGAGCAACGCCGCGUGAGUGAUGAAGGCUUUCGGGUCGUAAAACUCUGUUGUUAGGGAAGAACAAGUGCUAGUUGAAUAAGCUGACACCUUGACGGUACCUAACCAGAAAGCCACGGCUAACUACGUGCCAGCCGCCGCAGUAA